UGGAUGAUGUGGUUUAAUUCGAUGCAACGCGAAAAACCUUACCCACCUUUGACAUGUACGGAACCCUCCAGAGAUGGAGGGGUGCUCGAAAGAGAGCCGUAACACAGGUGCUGCAUGGCUGUCGUCAGCUCGUGUCGUGAGAUGUUGGUUAAGUCCCGCAACGAGCGCAACCCUCGUCAUUAGUUGCUACAUUUAGUUGGGCACUCUAAUGAGACUGCCGGUGACAAACCGGAGGAAGGUGGGGAUGACGUCAAGUCCUCAUGGCCCUUAUAGGUGGGGCUACACACGUCAUACAAUGGCCGGUACAAAGGGCUGCCAACCCGCGAGGGGGAGCCAAUCCCAUAAAACCGGUCGUAGUCCGGAUCGCAGUCUGCAACUCGACUGCGUGAAGUCGGAAUCGCUAGUAAUCGCGGAUCAGAACGCCGCGGUGAAUACGUUCCCGGGCCUU
rnacentral:rRNA from 1 species